UCCCUGGUGGUCCAGUGGUUAAAACUUCACACUUUGACUGCAGGGGGCCCAGGUUCUAUCCCUGGUCAGGGAA
rnacentral:tRNA from 1 species